UACGUAGGGUGCGAGCGUUAAUCGGAAUUACUGGGCGUAAAGAGUGCGCAGGCGGCUCUCUAAGACAGGUGUGAAAUCCCCGGGCUUAACCUGGGAAUGGCGCUUGUGACUGGAGAGCUAGAGUGUGGCAGAGGGGAAUGGAAUUCCUGGUGUAGCAGUGAAAUGCGUAGAUAUCAGGAGGAACACCAAUGGCGAAGGCAGUUCCCUGGGCCAACACUGACGCUCAUGCACGAAAGCGUGGGGAGCAAACAGGAUUAGAUACCCUGGUAGUCCACGCCCUAAACGAUGUCAACUAGUUGUUGGGGGAGGAGACUCCUUUAGUAACGAAGCUAACGCGUGAAGUUGACCGCCUGG
rnacentral:rRNA from 1 species